rnacentral:rRNA from 1 species
CAGUAGCCACGGGAAUACGAAGGGGGCUAGCGUUGUUCGGAUUUACUGGGCGUAAAGCGCACGUAGGCGGACUUUUAAGUCAGGGGUGAAAUCCCGGGGCUCAACCCCGGAACUGCCUUUGAUACUGGAAGUCUUGAGUAUGGUAGAGGUGAGUGGAAUUCCGAGUGUAGAGGUGAAAUUCGUAGAUAUUCGGAGGAACACCAGUGGCGAAGGCGGCUCACUGGACCAUUACUGACGCUGAGGUGCGAAAGCGUGGGGAGCAAACAGGAUUAGAUACCCCAGUAGUCCCUGUCUCUUAUAA